rnacentral:rRNA from 1 species
GACGAACGCUGGCGGCGUGCUUAACACAUGCAAGUCGAACGGAAAGGCCCUGCUUUUGUGGGGUGCUCGAGUGGCGAACGGGUGAGUAACACGUGAGUAACCUGCCCUUGAUUUUGGGAUAACUUCAGGAAACUGGGGCUAAUACCGGAUAGGAGCUCCUGCUGCAUGGUGGGGGUUGGAAAGUUUCGGCGGGUGGGGAUGGACUCGCGGCUUAUCAGCUUGUUGGUGGGGUAGUGGCUUACCAAGGCGUUGACGGGUAGCCGGCCUGAGAGGGUGACCGGCCACUUUGGGACUGAGAUACGGCCCAGACGCCUACGGGAGGCAGCAGUGGGGAAUAGUGCACAAUGGGCGGAAGCCUGAUGCAGCAACGCCGCGUGCGGGAUGACGGCCUUCGGGUUGUAAACCGCUUUCGCCUGUGACGAAGCGUGAGUGACGGUAAUGGGUAAAGAAGCACCGGCUAACUACGUG